UGGGGAAUAUUGCGCAAUGGGCGGAAGCCUGACGCAGCAACGCCGCGUGCGGGAUGACGGCCUUCGGGUUGUAAACCGCUUUCAGCAGGGACGAAGCGUGAGUGACGGUACCUGCAGAAGAAGCACCGGCCAACUACGUGCCAGCAGCCGCGGUGAUACGUAGGGUGCGAGCGUUGUCCGGAAUUAUUGGGCGUAAAGAGCUCGUAGGUGGUUGAUCGCGUCGAAAGUGAAAUCUCAGGGCUUAACCCUGAGCGUGCUUUCGAUACGGGUCGGCUAGAGGAAGGUAGGGGAGAAUGGAAUUCCUGGUGGAGCGGUGGAAUGCGCAGAUAUCAGGAGGAACACCAGUGGCGAAGGCGGUUCUCUGGACCUUUCCUGACGCUGAGGAGCGAAAGCGUGGGGAGCAAACAGGCUUAGAUACCCUGGUAGUCCACGCCGUAAACGGUGGGUACUAGGUGUGGGGGACAUUCCACGUUCUCCGUGCCGUAGCUAACGCAUUAAGUACCCCGCCUGGGGAGUACGGCCGCAAGGCUAAAACUCAAAUGAAUUGACGGGGUCAUA
rnacentral:rRNA from 1 species